rnacentral:rRNA from 1 species
CCUACGGGAGGCAGCAGUAGGGAAUCUUCCACAAUGGGCGAAAGCCUGAUGGAGCAACGCCGCGUGGGUGAAGAAGGUCUUCGGAUCGUAAAACCCUGUUGUUAGAGAAGACAGUGCGUGAGAGUAACUGUUCACGUUUCGACGGUAUCUAACCAGGAAGCCACGGCUAACUACGUGCCAGCAGCCGCGGUAAUACGUAGGUGGCAAGCGUUAUCCGGAUUUAUUUGGCGUAAAGGGAACGCAGGCGGUCUUUUAAGUCUGAUGUGAAAGCCUUCGGCUUACCCGGAGUAGUGCAUUGGAAACUGGGAGACUUGAGGGCAGACGAGGAGAGUGGAACUCCAUGUGUAGCGGUGAAAUGCGUAGAUAUAUGGAAGAACACCAGUGGCGAAAGCGGCUCUCUGGUCUGUAACUGACGCUGAGGUUCGAAAGCGUGGGUAGCAAACAGGAUUAGCUACCCGAGUAGUC